UGAUAUGCUUGUCUCAAAGAUUAAGCCAUGCAAGUCUCAGUGCAAGCCGCAUUAAGGUGAAACCGCGAAUGGCUCAUUAAAUCAGUUAUGGUUCCUUGGACCUGACACAGUACUUGGAUAACUGUGGUAAUUCUAGAGCUAAUACAUGCAUUCAGUCCCGACCGGAAACGGGAGGGACGCUUUUAUUAGAUCAAAACCAAUCGGCCGGCUCGUCCGGUCGUUUCGUUUUGGUGACUCUGGAUAACUUUGGGCUGAUCGCACGGUCUUCGCACCGGCGACAUACCCUUCAAAUGUCUGCCUUAUCAACUGACGAUGGUAGGCUCUGCGCCUACCAUGGUUAUAACGGGUGACGGGGAAUCAGGGUUCGAUUCCGGAGAGGGAGCCUGAGAAACGGCUACCACAUCCAAGGAAGGCAGCAGGCGCGCAAAUUACCCACUCCCGGCACGGGGAGGUAGUGACGAAAAAUAACGAUACGGGACUCAUCCGAGGCCCCGUAAUCGGAAUGAGCACACUUUAAAUCCUUUAACAAGUAUCCAUUGGAGGGCAAGUCUGG
rnacentral:rRNA from 1 species